ACACUCCUACGGGAGGCAGCAGUGAGGAAUAUUGGACAAUGGGUGGAAGCCUGAUCCAGCCAUCCCGCGUGCAGGAAGACGGCCCUAUGGGUUGUAAACUGCUUUUAUCUGGGGAUAAACCUACUUACGUGUAAGUAGCUGAAGGUACCAGAAGGAUAAGCACCGGCUAACUCCGUGCCAGCAGCCGCGGUAAUACGGAGGGUGCAAGCGUUAUCCGGAUUUAUUGGGUUUAAAGGGUCCGUAGGCGGACUGAUAAGUCAGUGGUGAAAUCCGACAGCUUAACUGUCGAACUGCCAUUGAUACUGUUAGUCUUGAGUAAGGUUGAAGUGGCUGGAAUAAGUAGUGUAGCGGUGAAAUGCAUAGAUAUUACUUAGAACACCAAUUGCGAAGGCAGGUCACUAAGUCUUAACUGACGCUGAUGGACGAAAGCGUGGGGAGCGAACAGGAUUAGAAACCCUGGUAGUCCCAUGAU
rnacentral:rRNA from 1 species